rnacentral:tRNA from 13 species
GGUCCUGUAGCGCAGUGGAUGGCGCGUUGGACUUCUAAUCCAAGGUCCGGUUCGAAUCCCGGCAGGGAUG